rnacentral:rRNA from 1 species
AUUGAACGCUGGCGGCAGGCCUAACACAUGCAAGUCGAGCGAGCGGCGGACGGGUGAGUAAUGUAUGGGGACUGCCCGAUAGAGGGGGAUAACUACUGGAAACGGUAGCUAAUACCGCAUACUAUCGGAUAACCCAUAUGGGAUGAGCUAGUAGGUGAGGUAAUGGCUCACCUAGGCGACGAUCCCUGGCUGGUCUGAGAGGAUGAUCAGCCAAAUGGGGAUGCAGAAACGGCCCGAAUUCCUACGGAGGCAGCAGUGGGGAAUAUUGCAAAAUGGGCGCAAGCCUGAUGCAGACAUGCCGCGGGUAUGAAGAAGGCCCUAGGGUUGUAAAGUACUUUCAGUCGGGAGGCGUUACCGACAGAAGAAGCACCGGCUAACUCCGUGCCAGCAGCCGCGGUAAUAC